rnacentral:rRNA from 1 species
CUGGCUCAGGAUGAACGCUAGCUACAGGCUUAACACAUGCAAGUCGAGGGGCAGCAUGAUCGAAGCUUGCUUUGAUUGAUGGCGACCGGCGCACGGGUGAGUAACGCGUAUCCAACCUUCCCUAUAGUAGAGAAUAGCCCGGCGAAAGUCGGAUUAAUGCUCUAUGUUGUAUUUAGAGGACAUCUGAAGAAUACCAAAGGUUUACCGCUAUAGGAUGGGGAUGCGUCUGAUUAGGUAGUAGGCGGGGUAACGGCCCACCUAGCCGACGAUCAGUAGGGGUUCUGAGAGGAAGGUCCCCCACAUUGGAACUGAGACACGGUCCAAACUCCUACG